GUGCUUACUUCAGCAGCACAUAUACUAAAAAUUGGAAUGAUACAGAGAAAAUUAGCAUGGCCCCUGUGCAGGGAUGACAUGCAAAUUUGUGAAAAGUUUCAUAUUUUU